rnacentral:lncRNA from 1 species
UAUACGGGACUUUCAAAACCCUAAGAUGAUUAAUGUCAUAAGUAGUACGACAUAUUAGUAUGUCGGAUAUUCAUUGUCAUGAAUACUAUGUCAACUUUUUAGUAAAAAAAAAAAAUAAAUAAACAAAAAAAAAAUAAAGAUGUAAUAUUCUAUAAUAAUAAUUAUCAUAGUAAUAUCUUAUAAAAAAAAAGGAAAUUUAAAUUAUAUUACCAACUAAAUGUAUUGAUAAAUGGCAAUUGUAUUGUGAGUUCUACAACCGUCAAAAAAAAAAAAAAAAAAGAAAAAUAGUGAAACCAAAAUAUGAAAAUAACAAUAAUAAUAAAGUAAUAGUAAGCAAAUCACAAUUCAAAUUUGGGUUCAACCCCAUACUCAGUGUCUUGAAACCGAAGGUAAGAAAAAAAAAAUAAUAAUAAAUUUGAAAUGAGUUAAAUAUGGAGUAAUUGUACAGCACAUCUUUUUUUUCAAAAAUAAAAAUGAUUUCCAUAUCUCCGACAUUAUUUACGUUGCUUUCCAUUCUAAUAAUUCUGUUACACAAUUCAUGGGAUUUGGAAUCCCUUUAAACGAUCAGCUAUAUUAAUCGAUCUCGCCAAUUCAUUCCGAACCUUGUUUGCUCCCUCUCGUUCUACCUUCCGACCACCUGUUAUAGUACCGACGAAAUCGCCUCCGCCAACCACAAGUGUAAACCUAUCUCGCUGGUCCGUUUCGCUUACGGUUCGUCCAAUUGGAGCCGCAACAGAACUGCCAAACACCACUACCACGUUGAUCGAGUUUAUGGUUCUGUCAUUCGCUUCCGCUCAUACCGACAGCCAAUAAACUCCGAGCCCCAUCACACAACCGUUUUUGUUCGUGUCCGAUUGCAGCAAGCUGCCACCCAUUGCUCUCGUAUCCAUCUCGCUUGGCGACUAAGGGUUUCGUGACAUUUGAUUUGAGCUUAGGAUUUACUACAGUCAUCGCUAAUUGCUUAAGGUACUCAGGGAAAUCGGGGAAAUGUGUGAAGAGUGAUAAUAAAAAGCUAGAGUUGGAACAAGGAGUUUAAUAAAACCUUAUAUUCAAUAAAUUUAGACACUUAUGUUUUUCUGUUGAGACCGUUAUGCCAUUUUGGAAUUUUAG